rnacentral:sRNA from 2 species
UAGUAGACUAGUGCGUUAGGGAUUGAAGCGGCAUCUUUUUCUAUUUGAAUGGUAUUCUCUGAUGUUCAAAGACAGGAUAAAUAGAAAAAAUAUAGCGUAAAGCCCGCCCGAAC